rnacentral:rRNA from 1 species
GCUCGUAGUUGGAUUCCUGACCUGGGGUAGCCGGUCCGCCUUGCAAAAGGUGCGCACUGAGCGGCCUCGGUCAUCCUUGAGAAGAGCGGUCCUGGCAUUCAGUUGUCGGGGUCGGGAUUCUCGACGUUUACUGUGAAAAAAUCAGAGUGUUCAACGCAGGCUUACGCCUUGAAUACAUUAGCAUGGAAUAAUGAGAUAGGACCUUGGCGGUCUAUUUUGUUGGUUUGCACGCCGAGGUAAUGAUUAAAAGGGACGGUUGNGGUUCUUCGUAUUCAAUUG